UGAGGAAUAUUGGUCAAUGGGCGAAAGCUUGAACCAGCAACGCCGCGUGGAUGAUGAAGGCCUUCGGGUCGUAAAAUCCUUUUCUGGGGGACGAGUAAGGACGGUACCCCAGGAAUAAGUACCGGCUGACUACGUGCCAGCAGCCGCGGUAAAACGUAGGGUGCAAGCGUUAUCCGGAUUCACUGGGUGUAAAGCGCGUGCAGGUGGUCUCGUAAGUUGGACGUGAAAUCUUCUGGCUUAACUGGGAGAGGCCGUUCAAUACUGCGGGGCUAGAGGGCAGGAGAGGGAGGUGGAAUUCCCGGUGUAGUGGUGAAAUGCGUAGAUAUCGGGAUGAACACCAGUGGCGAAGGCGGCCUCCUGGCCUGCUCCUGACGCUCAGACGCGAAAGCUAGGGGAGCGAACGGG
rnacentral:rRNA from 1 species